rnacentral:tRNA from 1 species
CGGGGUGUAGCUCAGCCAGGGUAGAGCGCUGCGUUUGGGGCGCAGAGGUCCGCAGUUCAAAUCUGCGCACCCCGACCA